GUCGAACGGAGUAGCAAUACUUAGUGGCAAACGGGUGCGUAACGCGUAAGCAACCUGCCCCAUACCGGGGGAUAGCCUGGCGAAAGCCGGGGUAAACCCGCAUGGUCCCUUUCUGUUUCAUGACAGGUCGGGUAAACAUUUAUGGGUAUGGGAGGGGCUUGCGUCUGAUUAGGUAGUUGGUGGGGUAGUGGCCCACCAAGCCGAUGAUCAGUAGGGGUUCUGAGAGGAUUGGCCCCCACAUGGGUACUGAGAUACGGACCCAACUCCUACGGGAGGCAGCAGUAGGGAAUAUUGGGCAAUGGGCGCAAGCCUGACCCAGCCAUGCCGCGUGCAGGAUGAAGGCGCUCAGCGUCGUAAACUGCUUUUACUCAUGAAGAACUGUAUGCCUGCGGGGGUACUUGACGGUAGUGAGGGAAUAAGCACCGGCUAACUCCGUGCCAGCAGCCGCGGUAAUACGGAGG
rnacentral:rRNA from 1 species